rnacentral:rRNA from 1 species
GACAGAGGGUGCAAACGUUGUUCGGAAUUACUGGGCGUAAAGCGAGUGUAGGCGGUUUCCUAAGUCAGGUGUGAAAGCCCCGGGCUCAACCCGGGAAGUGCACUUGAAACUGGGAGGCUAGAGUAUCGGAGAGGUUGGUGGAAUUCUCGGUGUAGAGGUGAAAUUCGUAGAUAUCGGGAGGAACACCAGUGGCGAAGGCGGCGAUCUGGGUCGAUACUGACGCUGAGGUGCGAAAGCGUGGGGAGCAAACAGG